rnacentral:sRNA from 1 species
GUGGAAGAUGUUAGAAUGAAGUCUUAUUUAUCCACAAACAAUUAUGUGGCAUGGGCAACACGAAUGCAAGCUUCCUCACACUGCCCCUACCAAUGUGCCUCACCCUUGGCUCUAUAAGAAUAAGAGAGCAGUUGCAUUUCUUAGCCAAUUCAUUCAAUGAAUUCU